rnacentral:rRNA from 1 species
GACGAACGCUGGCGGCGUGCCUAAUACAUGCAAGUCGAGCGGACCGAACAGGAGCUUGCUCUUGUUCGGUUAGCGGCGGACGGGUGAGUAAAACGUGGGUAACCUUCCCGUAAGACCGGGAUAACUCCGGGAGACCGGAGCUAAUACCGGAUAAUACCGAAGACCGCAUGGUCCUUGGUUGCAUGGCGGCUUCGGCUGCCACUUACGGAUGGGCCCGCGUCGCAUGAGCUCGUUGGUGAGGCAACGGCUCACCAAGGCGACGAUCGGUAGCCGGCCUGAGGGGAGGAUGACCCACAUUGGAACGGAGAAACGGCCCAACUUCUUAGGGGAGGCACCAGUGGGAAUUAUUGGAAAAGGGCGGAAAGCUGAAUACAGGCAGACCGCGUGGGUGAAGAAGGCUUCGGGGUUGUAAGGUCUGUUUGUUGGGAAAGAAAAGCAUCAGGCUAAGACGCCGCUGUGGUGACGGUACCUAAAGAAUAAGCACCGGCUAACUUCGUG